rnacentral:rRNA from 1 species
UACGAAGGGGGGCUAGCGUUGCUCGGAAUUACUGGGCGUAAAGCGCACGUAGGCGGCUUGUUAAGUCAGGGGUGAAAUCCUGGAGCUCAACUCCAGAACUGCCUUUGAUACUGGCGAGCUUGAGUUCGGGAGAGGUAAGUGGAACUGCGAGUGUAGAGGUGAAAUUCGUAGAUAUUCGCAAGAACACCAGUGGCGAAGGCGGCUCACUGGCCCGAUACUGACGCUGAGGUGCGAAAGCGUGGGGAGCAAACAGG